ensembl:lncRNA
CCAACUCCUUACCACUCACCCCUCAUCCCCACACUGCUUACCACUCACCCCUCACCCUUCAGCCCUCACCCCAACUCCUUACCACUCACCCCUCACCCCCACACUCCUUACCACUCACCCCCACACUCCUUACCACUCACCCCUCAUCCCCACACUCCUUACCACUCACCCCUCACCCUUCAGCCCUCACCCCAACUCCUUACCACUCACCCCUCACCCCCACACUCCUUACCACUCACCCCUCACCCUUCAGCCCUCACCCCAACUCCUUACCACUCACCCUUCAGCCCUCAUCCCAACUCCUUACCACUCACCCUCACCCCCACACUCCUUACCACUAACCCCUCACCCCCACACUCCUUACCACUCACACUUCAGCCCUCACCUCAACUCCUCACCACUCACCCCUCACCCCCACACUCCUUACCACUCACCCCCACACUCCUUACCACUCACCCCUCAUCCCCACACUCCUUACCACUCACCCCUCACCCUUCAGCCCUCACCCCAACUCCUUACUACUCACCCCUCACCCCCACACUCCUUACCACUCACCCCUCACCCUUCAGCCCUCACCCCAACUCCUUACCACUCACCCUUCAGCCCUCACCCCAACUCCUCACCACUCACCCCUCACCCCCACACUCCUCACCACUCACCCUUCAGCCCUCACCCCAAUUCCUUACUACUCACCCCUCACCCCCACACUCCUCACCCUCACCCUUCACCCUUCAGCCCUCACCCCAACUCCUCACCCUCACCCUUCACCCCCAACUCCUUACCACUCACCCCCACACUCCUUACCCUCACCCUUCACCAUUUACCUCCACACUCCUCACCCUUUCCCCCCUACACUCCUCACCUCACACCCUAGUCAUCACCCCUUACCCCCUCCUUCUCACCCCUCAUUCUUUUGGUUCUUUAUCACUAGUCCCUAGUCCCUGGUCUGACUCAGCAAGGCUUGCCCUUUGUCCCAGACAAGGGUUGCACUGAAUACCUUUCAAUAGCUCUUUACACCGUCUCCCCAUGUGCCUCAAGACGGACAGGGAUGAUUCUACUAUUGGGAUUUUGUAUUGUUUUGUAAAAAGGUUAUUGAGUUUUGUUAUGACAGAACUGCUAUUUCAGAAGGUUGUAUCAUCCUCCAUGUCCAUCUAGAAUUGUUUUCCAUGUCUUUGAUCAUCAGAUCCACUAACAGACACUCAGAUUUCUAUCUGCCAACAACUCUUAUUGUUUCCCCUGCAAACUCCUCUCAACUCUUUGAUGUUGAUACUCUGAAGAUCCUGGCAGAUGGAGAGACAGAAUGAAGAGAAAACCUGAAGAAAACAAAACCAGUCAACACAAGGACGUGUGUCAGCCCCAGCAGCCAUGUCUGCUGUCUGACUGAAUCAUCACUGGGUGUGGUGUGGUGUGGUGUGAUAUGGUGUGGUAUGGUGAGGUAUGGUGUGGUAUGGUGUGGUAGGGUGAGGUAUGCUGUGGUGUGGUAUGGUGAGGUAUGGUGUGGUAGGGUGAGUUAUGGUGUGGUGUGGUGUGAUAUGGUGUGGUAUGGUGAGGUAGGGUGAGGUAUGCUGUGGUGUGGUGUGGUAUGGUGAG